rnacentral:tRNA from 1 species
GAGGGUGUUAUAAGACUUGCUAACUCUUUAACCUGGAACCAA